rnacentral:rRNA from 1 species
UAAUACGUAGGCAGCAAGCGUUGUUCGGAGUUACUGGGCGUAAAGAGUACGUAGGCGGUUUGCUAAGUCUGGUGUGAAAUCUCCUGGCUUAACUGGGAGGGUGCGCUAGAUACUGGCAGGCUUGAGUAUGGGAGAGGAGAGUGGAAUUCCUGGUGUAGCGGUGAAAUGCGUAGAUAUCAGGAGGAACGCCGGUGGUGUAGACGGCUCUCUGGACCAUUACUGACGCUGAGGUACGAAAGCGUGGGUAGCAAACAG